rnacentral:rRNA from 1 species
GACGAACGCUGGCGGCGUGCUUAACACAUGCAAGUCGAACGGAAAGGCCCUGCUUUUGUGGGGUGCUCGAGUGGCGAACGGGUGAGUAACACGUGAGUAACCUGCCCUUGACUUUGGGAUAACUUCAGGAAACUGGGGCUAAUACCGGAUAGGAGCUCCUGCUGCAUGGUGGGGGUUGGAAAGUUUCGGCGGUUGGGGAUGGACUCGCGGCUUAUCAGCUUGUUGGUGGGGUAGUGGCUUACCAAGGCUUUGACGGGUAGCCGGCCUGAGAGGGUGACCGGCCACAUUGGGACUGAGGUACCGCCCAGACUCCUACGGGAGGCAGCAGUGGGGAAUAUUGCACAAUGGGCGGAAGCCUGAUGCAGCAACGCCGCGUGCGGGAUGACGGCCUUCGGGUUGUAAACCGCUUUCGCCUGUGACGAAGCGUGAGUGACGGUAAUGGGUAAAGAAGCACCGGCUAACUACGUG